rnacentral:rRNA from 1 species
CAUUACUAGAGCAAAGGAUAGACAGCGCCCGCGGAGCUCGCUCCCGGGGCUACCCUACUCCCGUAGGGUUUAGAGUCGUCGGGCCUCUCGGAGAAGCUCGGUCCUGAACUCCACCCUUGAAUAAACUACCUUUGUUGCUUUGGCGGGCCGCCUCGUGCCAGCGGCUUCGGCUGUUGAGUGCCCGCCAGAGGACCCCAACUCUUGUUUUUAGUGAUGUCUGAGUACUAUAUAAUAGUUAAAACUUUCAACAACGGAUCUCUUGGUUCUGGCAUCGAUGAAGAACGCAGCGAAAUGCGAUAAGUAAUGUGAAUUGCAGAAUUCAGUGAAUCAUCGAAUCUUUGAACGCACAUUGCGCCCUCUGGUAUUCCGGGGGGCAUGCCUGUUCGAGCGUCAUUAUAACCACUCAAGCUCUCGCUUGGUAUUGGGGUUCGCGGUUUCGCGGCCCCUAAAAUCAGUGGCGGUGCCUGUCGGCUCUACGCGUAGUAAUACUCCUCGCGAUUGAGUCCGGUAGGUCUACUUGCCAGCAACCCCUAAUUUUUUUAAGGUUGACCUCGGAUCAGGUAGGGAUACCCGCUGAACUUAAGCAUAUCAAUAAGCGGAGGAAAAGAAACCAACAGGGAUUACCUCAGUAACGGCGAGUGAAGCGGUAACAGCUCAAAUUUGAAAGCUGGCUCUUUUAGGGUCCGCGUUGUAAUUUGUAGAAGAUGCUUCGGGUGUGGCCCCGGUCUAAGUUCCU